AUUGAACGCUGGCGGCAGGCCUAACACAUGCAAGUCGAGCGGAUGAAGGGAGCUUGCUCCUGGAUUCAGCGGCGGACGGGUGAGUAAUGCCUAGGAAUCUGCCUGGUAGUGGGGGAUAACGUCCGGAAACGGGCGCUAAUACCGCAUACGUCCUGAGGGAGAAAGUGGGGGAUCUUCGGACCUCACGCUAUCAGAUGAGCCUAGGUCGGAUUAGCUAGUUGGUGGGGUAAAGGCCUACCAAGGCGACGAUCCGUAACUGGUCUGAGAGGAUGAUCAGUCACACUGGAACUGAGACACGGUCCAGACUCCUACGAGAGGCAGCAGUGGGGAAUAUUGGACAAUGGGCGAAAGCCUGAUACAGCCAUGCCGCGUGUGUGAAGAAGGUCUUCGGAUUGUAAAGCACUUUAAGUUGGGAGGAAGGGCAGUAAGUUAAUACCUUGCUGUUUUGACGUUACCAACAGAAUAAGCACCGGCUAACUUCGUG
rnacentral:rRNA from 1 species